UCCGGCAGCUAGCUCUCUGCAACUUGGUCACAUGGUCACCCUCUAAAGCUACAGUAAGCAGGGCUGUGCCCGAUCAGUAUCUGUAUUGGAGACCACAUGGGAAAGCUAGGUUGCUGUCGGAA
rnacentral:rRNA from 1 species